GGUCCGUGAUGACUGGUAAAAGGUCUGACCGCCCGGAUUCCCCUGCACUCUGCCUGUCCCCAGCCGCCCCCCUCCCGUCAGGCUCCAGUUGUGCCGUGAUGGGCAAAGGCAGCUGACAGCUGGUGGUGCCCCAUCCUGUGUCCCUGCAAGCUCAGGGAGACGCCAUGCUUGGCGCCGAACAGCACAGCGACAAAGGGAUUCGGACACUGGGAGUGCCGGGGUCUGAGGUGAUGAUCUGCCCUUUCCAAGCUGAGGCC